UACAUGGGGUGCAAACGUUGCUCGGAAUUAUUGGGCGUAAAGCGCACGUAGGCGGUUCGUUAAGUCGGAUGUGAAAGCCCUCGGCUCAACUGAGGAAGUGCACCCGAAACUGGCGAGCUUGAGUACGAAAGAGGAUCGCGGAAUUCCCGGUGUAGAGGUGAAAUUCGUAGAUAUCGGGAGGAACACCGGUGGCGAAGGCGGUUCUCUGGGCCUUACCUGACGCUGAGGAGCGAAAGCGUGGGGAGCAAACAGG
rnacentral:rRNA from 1 species